GCAUUGGUAGUUCAGUGGUAGAAUUCUUGCCUAUUAUGCAGGAGACCUGGAUUCAAUUCCUGCCAAUGCA